GUUGACCUCGAAUCAGGUAGGAAUACCCGCUGAACUU
rnacentral:rRNA from 2 species